GCCUCCGUAGCGCAAAUGGUUAGCGCGUUCGGCUGUUAACCGAAAGGUUGGGGGUUCAAUCCCAUCCGGGGGCG
rnacentral:tRNA from 1 species